rnacentral:lncRNA from 1 species
GUCAGUGUGGCUGGGGAGGGGUGACCAAGGGGGGAGGGGUAGGAGGAGGAGAACUAGCCAGUAGCUAGGUCACUAGGGACUUGUAGGUAUAACAAGGGCCUUGAAUUUUAAUUCAAGUGCAGUGGGAAGGCCUUAGAGGGAGCUGAGCAGGGGAGAAAGGUGAUCUGACUUAUAGUCUAAACCGUUACUCCGCUGCUCUGCGGAGAAUAUUCUGCUGUGGAAAAAGAAGGAGGUAGGAAGACCAGCUGCUUCGCUCUUGUAGAGUAAAGUGAAAGCUGAUGGUGGCCUGAAGUAUGGAGAUGGCAGUGCAAGUGGUGACAAGUGAAUGUACUUCUGUUCGAGGUAUAGUCUGUGAAAAUGAAUAACAAUCCCACUUAUGCAUCUCUUAUUGACUAUGGAGCGUAUGAAAGAAAAGCUCUGGAGGUACAAAGAUAAAUGAGCCAUGAGACUUUCCUUCGAGCAGCUCACAGUCCAACAGAGGAGAUAGACAAAGCAACAAACACAGCAGCAAAAUAAUAAAUAUAAAUUUAUGCAAAUACCAAAGUAGCACGGAGGAGGG